rnacentral:rRNA from 1 species
AGAGUUUGAUCAUGGCUCAGAUUGAACGCUGGCGGCAUGCCUUACACAUGCAAGUCGGACGGCAGCGCGGGCUUCGGCCUGGCGGCGAGUGGCGAACGGGUGAGUAAUACAUCGGAACGUGUCCCGUAGUGGGGGAUAGCCCGGCGAAAGCCGGAUUAAUACCGCAUACGAUCUGUGGAUGAAAGCGGGGGAUCGCAAGACCUCGCGCUAUGGGGGCGGCCGAUGGCGGAUUAGGUAGUUGGUGGGGUAAAGGCCUACCAAGCCGACGAUCCGUAGCUGGUCUGAGAGGACGACCAGCCACACUGGGACUGAGACACGGCCCAGACUCCUACGGGAGGCAGCAGUGGGGAAUUUUGGACAAUGGGCGCAAGCCUGAUCCAGCAAUGCCGCGUGUGUGAAGAAGGCCUUCGGGUUGUAAAGCACUUUUGUCCGGAAAGAAAUCUUCUGAGCUAAUACCUCGGGAGGAUGACGGUACCGGAAGAAUAAGCACCGGCUAACUACGUGCCAGCAGCCGCGGUAAUACGUAGGGUGCGAGCGUUAAUCGGAAUUACUGGGCGUAAAGCGUGCGCAGGCGGUGCUGUAAGACCGAUGUGAAAUCCCCGGGCUUAACCUGGGAACUGCAUUGGUGACUGCAGCGCUGGAGUAUGGCAGAGGGGGGUGGAAUUCCACGUAGCAGUGAAAUGCGUAGAGAUGUGGAGGAACACCGAUGGCGAAGGCAGCCCCCUGGGCCAAUACUGACGCUCAUGCACGAAAGCGUGGGGAGCAAACAGGAUUAGAUACCCCAGUAGUCC